AACCCAGUAUGAGGUCUCUUUUUUUCAUUCCUCCAUUUGCCCAUUGUAUUGUACAUUUCAGUGUUCUUCCAAUUACUACCUGUCUCCGACCUGUCUUAUGUAUGUAUGGUCGGGGGGGGGUCCAAUUUCACUGCAGGUGAAAACUUGCAUGUGACAAAUAAAGGUUUGAUUGAUUGAUUGAUUGAUUGGCAGUAUGGUCAACCACCUUGAACCUUGAAGGGUACACCAGAAUUAGACUACAGUUUGCACGGAGUCGACAAAAAUUGGACAACAGAAGAUUGAAUAAAAGUUGCCUUUCUAAUAAGUCUCCAUUUCAACUGUGAUAUUUGGAUGGAUAACAGGCCAAGUCACACAGAUCAAGCACCUUAAACUGGCUUCUUGAACAUGACAAUGAGUUUUUAAAUCAGCCUCCACGGUCGCCAGAUCUCAAUCCGAUGGAGCACCUUUGGGAUGGAGUGGAAGAUUCACAUCAUGGAUGUGCAGCUGACAUAUCUUCUGCAGCUGUGUGAUGCUAUCACGUCAACGGGGACCAAAAUCUCUGAGGAAUGUUUCCAGUGCCAUGAAAAAAUUUAAGCAGUUAUGAAGAGGAAAAAAAAAAAAAAAGUACAAUCUGCUGCUAGCAAGGCGUAACUGGUAAGUGUAUGGCUCAUAUAUAUCUCAUGAAAUGAGAGUAUAGUACAGUUAUGCCAAAUAGGAUCAGAGCUCAUUUAGAGAGAACAUCUACAGCUUUUAGUAUUUUUUUAUUCUGAUGCUCCAAAUACAGAAGCUUUGCAUGAUUCAGAGUUUAAGAAAUCCAAUUUCUGCUACGUCUCACUUCAUCCACUACCUGAAAUGACCCUUUUCAAGCCCACUCAUUGAGAGCCCAAUGUCUUCUGAUUGGCUGCAACUCACUUGGCUUCUAAAAACAGAACCUAGUGCUUGCAAGGUGUAAUCACAUAUAGAAAAAAAAAAAAAAAAAAAAAAAUCAUACUAAGCUGACAUGAGCUUGGCACAAGAAACCUAAUAGAGACCAAGUGUUUAGAGCAGUCUGAAGCCUCAGCCAGUAAAAUCAAAUUUAGCUGCGUUUAAUACAGUAAAAGACCUCAAUCCAACACAGCACCUUUGGGAAGCAUUUACUGGCAUUUAAAAGUACAGUUCUGUCUCUCAUUUGCCUACUAGAAAGGUGCCAAGAUGCAUAUCUAGGGGGGUAGAAAAUAUAUCAUGGAGAAACAUAAAAUGCUAACGUGUAUCCAAGACAGAUGGAGGUUAAAAUGUACAAAAACAAAAUAAAGAACCAAUACCAACCAAUACCGUACAUUACAUGGCCAGAAAAUGUGUGAUGUAGUUAUAAGUUUGGAGUUUCAUUUGGUACUCGACAUCCUGGAGUUUAUUAUGACUCAGCCCACAAACAGAAACCAACUGGAAAGCCUCCAGAGGUUUUAGUUCUACCCAACAUGUCAUCCACGAACUGUAUCAUGUAUGUUCAAGUAUUUAAAAGCCACAUGAGAAACGUAGUUUCUUAAAAAGACAUUCACAUCCAAAAUGAUGAAAAUGUCUUUUUCUUGUUUAUUUACUUAAUAUUUAUAUAUUUUUACAAAAUAAAAAAAACAAAAACAAAAAAGCUAACAAGUCUGCAAGGAUUUAAGAAGGAAAAGAAGAAAGCCAUCGAACAAACAGGGACUACAGUACUUGUGUUUUUUUUUUAUAUAUGUACAAGACAAGUUUAUCCAUUUAAACUUUUUUUUUUUAAAACGCACAGUACAAAAAGAAAAAAAAAAA